UUAGGGGGUUUCCGCCCCUUAGUGCUGCAGCUAACGCAUUAAGCACUCCGCCUGGGGAGUACGGUCGCAAGACUGAAACUCAAAGGAAUUGACGGGGGCCCGCACAAGCGGUGGAGCAUGUGGUUUAAUUCGAAGCAACGCGAAGAACCUUACCAGGUCUUGACAUCCUCUGACAAUCCUAGAGAUAGGACGUCCCCUUCGGGGGCAGAGUGACAGGUGGUGCAUGGUUGUCGUCAGCUCGUGUCGUGAGAUGUUGGGUUAAGUCCCGCAACGAGCGCAACCCUUGAUCUUAGUUGCCAGCAUUCAGUUGGGCACUCUAAGGUGACUGCCGGUGACAAACCGGAGGAAGGUGGGGAUGACGUCAAAUCAUCAUGCCCCUUAUGACCUGGGCUACACACGUGCUACAAUGGACAGAACAAAGGGCAGCGAAACCGCGAGGUUAAGCCAAUCCCACAAAUCUGUUCUCAGUUCGGAUCGCAGUCUGCAACUCGACUGC
rnacentral:rRNA from 2 species